GAUGAAGAACGCAGUGAAAUGCGAUAAGUAAUGUGAAUUGCAGAAUUCAGUGAAUCAUCGAAUCUUUGAACGCACAUUGCGCCCCUUGGUAUUCCGAGGGGCAUGCCCGUUCGAGCGUCAUUAUACCCCUCAAGCCUAGCUUGGUGUUGGGGCCUGCUGUUACCGGCAGCCCUUAAAAUCAGUGGCGGUGCCAUCUGGCUCUAAGCGUAGUAAUACUUCUCGCUACAGGGUCCCGGUGGAUGCUUGCCAUCAACCCCUAAUUUUCUAUGGUUGACCUCGGAUCGGGUAGGGAUACCCGCUGAACUUAAGCAUAUCAAUAAGCGGAGGG
rnacentral:misc_RNA from 1 species